rnacentral:rRNA from 1 species
GUUAAAAAGCUCGUAGUUGGAUUUCUGUUGAGAACGGCCGGUCCGCAUUUUGUGCGUGUAUCUGGUUUGGUCUUGGCAUCCUUCCAAAGAACGCGACUGUGAUUCAGUUCAUGGUGCGGCGCUUUGGAACCUUUACUUUGAGGAAAUUAGAGUGUUUACGGCAGGCAAUCGCCUUGAAUAUAUUAGCAUGGAAUAAUACUAUAGGACCUUGGGUCUAUUUUGUUGGUUUCUAGAGCUAAGGUAAUGAUUAAUAGGGACAAUUGGGGGCAUUCGUAUUAACACGUCAGAGGUGGAAUUCUUAGAUUGUGUUACGACGAACUACUGCGAAAGCAUUUGCCAAGGAUGUUUUCAUUGAUCAAGAACGAAAGUGAGGGGAUCGAAGAUGAUUAGAUACCGUCGUAGUCUUCACCAUAAACUAUGCCGACUAGAGAUUGGAGGUCGUCCUUUUAUGACUCCUUCAGCACCUUAUGAGAAAUCAAAGUCUCUGGGUUCCGGGGGGAGUAUGGUCGCAAGGCUGAAACUUAAAGGAAUUGACGGAAGGGCACCACCAGGAGUGGAGCCUGCGGCUUAAUUUGACUCA